rnacentral:misc_RNA from 1 species
GUACAUUAGUGCUUGCGCACGACAAUAAAUUUCAUUACAUUCGAGUGUGUGUAAAAAUCCUCUGCCAGCCGAAGCUAGCAAGAGGCCAAAGGUUCACAGGGUAUUGGAUGAAAGUCACCAACGUGCACUUGCCGGAGCCAGCACUGAAGGCAACGAUUCACAGUCAAUAAUGAUCCUUCCGCAGGUUCACCUACGGAAA